GCCACUUCCCCCUUCACUCUACAGAGGAAGAUGUCAACUGGGGAACCCAUAACACUUUCCUGACAUAAUUUCAAGACCAAAUCUGUCUGCCCCGUUGAUCUUUGGACUCUGUGAAAGAAGAGAACUCAGUCAGUUUUCUAGGCCUCAAAUGGUACUUCCGGAAGCCUACAGCAAGCAUAGACCCUGGUUGUGUAUGCACCGACUUUUACCAAAAGAAAGUUAAUACUGCUCCAAACGCAGUUACAUGGCUAUGGAAAUUCAACUGAGAACAGAACAUGGAAGUCUGAUUUCUGUUUAA
rnacentral:lncRNA from 1 species